CACCAUCUUUGCAAAGCCGGGUACGAUAUUGAGCUGGAUGAAGCCAGCACUCAAAAACUCCAUGAGCAUAUUCACACAUAUCUCCCCGUCUACAAGCCCCUUUCCGAAAAUCAGGACAUGGAACACAACUGUAAUGGAACUUCCUAGGAUCCCUUCUUCGAGCAUUUUCCCCUGGAUGAACAAAUGGGCACUCAGUCCAAUCAUGGGAGUAGGCACGGGAACAGGGCCGCACCUUGAAUGAAUACAUUCGGAAUUCAUCAGUUGCAUAGAUGCUGUUUUUUAUGUCCGGCAGAGAUGGAUCAACGGGGUAUUCCUUUUUCUCUGAUGUGGAGAAAACAGGUACAUCAUUUAGCUUUGACUUCACUGGAGAGUCUGAUGAAGACAGUGGAGAGCUAUUUUCCACGGAAGGUGAAAGAGGUGGAGAACUUGAAUUCGCAGUAGCUGUGGAAACCCUCAGAUUGCGCUCAAAAACAGAACCAUCAGUAGCAAGAAGUUCUUCAAGAGUAUAUUUCAUAUCUUGGAGCUUUGGUGGAACAGCAAUAACAUCAAUUGGAUGAUGACCAUUGGCAUCCAUCAAAUUGGGAUCCCCACCAGCUGCUAAAAGCAGUUUCACAGCAUCAAC
rnacentral:misc_RNA from 1 species